UAUUGGACAAUGGGCGAAAGCCUGAUCCAGCCAUGCCGCGUGUGUGAAGAAGGUCUUCGGAUUGUAAAGCACUUUAAGUUGGGAGGAAGGGCAGUUACCUAAUACGUGAUUGUUUUGACGUUACCGACAGAAUAAGCACCGGCUAACUCUGUGCCAGCAGCCGCGGUAAUACAGAGGGUGCAAGCGUUAAUCGGAAUUACUGGGCGUAAAGCGCGCGUAGGUGGUUAGUUAAGUUGGAUGUGAAAUCCCCGGGCUCAACCUGGGAACUGCAUUCAAAACUGACUGACUAGAGUAUGGUAGAGGGUGGUGGAAUUUCCUGUGUAGCGGUGAAAUGCGUAGAUAUAGGAAGGAACACCAGUGGCGAAGGCGACCACCUGGACUGAUACUGACACUGAGUGCGAA
rnacentral:rRNA from 1 species